rnacentral:rRNA from 1 species
UACAGAGGGUGCGAGCGUUAAUCGGAAUUACUGGGCGUAAAGCGCACGUAGGCGGCUUGGUAUGUCGGGUGUGAAAUCCCCGGGCUCAACCUGGGAACUGCAUCCGAAACUGCCUUGCUAGAGUAUGGGAGAGGGAAGUGGAAUUUCCGGUGUAGCGGUGAAAUGCGUAGAUAUCGGAAGGAACAUCAGUGGCGAAGGCGACUUCCUGGACCAAUUCUGACGCUGAGUGAGCGAAAGCCAGGGGAGCAAACGGG